UGGAAAAGCAGAGGAACGUUUAAAUAUUCUGCAUGUUAUGGAUACUAAGUAACACUUUCACAAGGUUAACUAAAUGUUCUAGUUGAGCUAUCCAUCUGAACCUCGUUCAUUACGUUUAACUUAAUAACUGAAACUGGGGUUAUGUCUGAUUGAAAAAGGGAAAUGCUAUCAAGGCCAUGUGAAAAGCCUGUGGGAACAGCUGCCUGAACGAGAAGUGGAUGUGCAGCAAGACACUGGGAGGGAGAGGGUUACAGCUGUAAAUCUGUGUCAGGCACACUCUGGAAAAUAUGACUGGGGACAAACAGAAAAUAAUAAGAGCAAGAGGAGCAAGUCAGAUGAGAGAGUGUGCAAAGCCCUCCUCUGAAAUCUAGCCUGGAGACGGGUGACCCUGCUGAGGGGAGAUGGAGACGCAGAGGUGACCCGGUGCUAACCAGCCUGUUAUAACUAAUAAGCUCCAGCACUGUUUCCCAAUGCUUGGUAUGGUAGAAGCAAGCUUUCCAUGUUAUAAUUUCAAUAAUAAUUGUUAUAAAUAUGUAUUUUAAAGUGUCUGUUUCUUUGGUGGAAGAAGACUGUCCUCUGCAGGAAGAACUAAGAACUACUGGAAAAAUACUUUACUGAGCAUUAGUGAGAGGCACAUAAAAAAAUAA